AUGGCUCAGGAUGAACGCUGGCGGCGUGCUUAAUACAUGCAAGUCGAACGGAAGUAUUAGGAGCUUGCUCUUGAUAACUUAGUGGCGGACGGGUGAGUAACGCGUGGGUAACCUGCCUCAGUACAGGGGGAUAACAGUUAGAAAUGACUGCUAACACCGCAUAACAUGAAGGAACCGCAUGAUUCUUUCAUCAAAUAUUUAUAGGUAUGAGAUGGGCCCGCGUCUGAUUAGCUAGGCUGGUGAGGUAAAGGCCCACCAAGGCGACGAUCAGUAGCCGUACUGAGAGGUAGAACGGCCACAUUGGGACUGAGACACGGCCCAAACUCCUACGGGAGGCAGCAGUAGGGAAUAUUGGACAAUGGGGGGCAACCCUGAUCCAAGCGACGCCGCGUGAGUGAAGAAGUUAUUCGUAAUGUAAAGCUCUAUCAGCAGGGACGAUAAUGACGGUACCUGACUAAGAAGCACCGGCUAAAUACGUGCCAGCCGCCGC
rnacentral:rRNA from 1 species